UACGGAAGGCAGCAGUGGGGAAUAUUGCACAAUGGGCGAAAGCCUGAUGCAGCUAUGCCGCGUGUAUGAAGAAGGCCUUAGGGUUGUAAAGUACUUUCAUCGGGGAGGAAAAAACAAAACUAAUAAUUUUAUUUCUUGACGUUACCCGAAAAAGAAGCACCGGCUAACUCCGUGCCAGCAGCCGCGGUAAUACGGAGGGUGCUAGCGUUAAUCAGAAUUACUGGGCGUAAGGAGCACGUAGGUGGUUUUUUUAAGUCAGAUGUGAAAUCCCUGGGCUUAACCUAGGAACUGCAUUUUGAAACUGAAAUACUAGAGUAUCGUAGAGGGAGGUAGAAUUCUAGGUGUAGCGGUGAAAUGCGUAGAUAUCUGGAGGAAUACCUGUGGCGAAAGCGGCCUCCUAAACGAAUACUGACACUGAGGUGCGAAAGCGUGGGGAGCAAACGAGGGAUUAGGAUACCCGU
rnacentral:rRNA from 1 species